rnacentral:rRNA from 1 species
UACGGAGGAUGCAAGCGUUAUCCGGAUUUAUUGGGUUUAAAGGGUGCGCAGGUUGUUUGAUAAGUCAGUGGUGAAAGUCUGUCGCUUAACGGUAGGAUUGCCAUUGAUACUGUUAGACUUGAAUAUAGUUGAGGUAGGCGGAAUGUGCAGUGUAGCGGUGAAAUGCUUAGAUAUUACACAGAACACCAAUUGCGAAGGCAGCUUACUAAGCUGUUACUGACGCUGAGCCACGAAAGCGUGGGGAGCAAACAGAAUUA